AAGAGAGCAAUUAAGGGAUGACAUCAUUGUUAGUGAUCACUUCCAAGGCUGUAUCUGCAGAAAAGAGGAGAAAGCGCUGGACAGAACAAAUGACGUGGAUGGAUUAUGCAGGUAGAGUGAGCGUAAACAAAACUAAAGAGGCAAUCUUGCAGAAAGCUAUAGCCAUCUCCCCCAUUACAGUGUGAAAUUGAAACUCUCCUCUGUUUCUUUACCUGCUCUGCUCCACUGUGUCAAUAAGGGCUGUUUAGCCUUUGACCCUGCCACUGGCUAGAGUGAUGAAAGAAGUGGACCGAUCAGCUCAUACACAAAGAUGGAGUUACCAUUGACAAGCAUUAUACGACUGACAGACCGCAACGGUUGGAGUUAAAAAUCAUUAUUUGUGUUCUACUGAAGAAACAAAGUCACCUACAUCUUGGAUGCCCUGGGGGUAAGCAGAUAAACAUCAAAUUUUCAUUUUUGGGUGAACUAUCCCUUUAAGAGAAAAUUUGAGGAAAAGUUUACUCAAAAAUGAAAAAUCAUCACAACCUGUGAGACCUCAGUAGAGAACAAAACAUGUUCAUAUACUCUUACAUAAAACACCAUAAAAUAACUCAUUAUAUUACAAGAUCAAGUCAAGUACAUUCCAAGUCAAGUCAACUGCUUAAAUUUCUCUCUUUCCUCACAGAAAGCAGGUUUGAUAGUGUCGGAACACUUAAAAUAUGGUUGUAUGUUUACUUUUUUAGUAACUUUUUAUCAUUUUGGAACUUGACAGCCCACCAUCCAUGUAUGUUUUUUUUCUGUACGGAAAAGAGAAGCAUGAAAAUUCAACAACAUAUCUCAUUUUGUGUUCCACGCAAACAAGAACAGUCAUUUGAAUUUGAAAUGACAUGAAGGUGAGCAAAGGAUAACAGAAUGUUAAUUUGUGCAGCAGUAUCCCUUUAACAGGAACUCCCACAGAAGCAGUAGAAAGAGAAGGCUUUAAUAUAGUUAAAAGCACUAAAAGUCUCCUGCUAUGAACAGGUUGAAAGGUAAAAUUCAAAGCUAAAAGAAUGAAAGCAACAGAUGCUAUCCAGAAAUCUUGAAAGACUAGUGCAAAACAAAGAAUUACAAAAAGAGCCUUUGAGACUUGUGUGAAGCUAGGUAAAAGAAAGUGUAAAUGUGCACAGAAAAGGAGCAAACAACUGAAGACUAAAGGCAGUAACUCAAGGUUUGAGAAAGAGCAGGACAGCUGAAGAUCAGAGGGCGCAGGUGUCCUUGCCUGAGGGUGUAACCGCGCACUCCGCUGUGAGGGCACGUUAAGAGGAGAGCUGAACAGGUGCAUAGUCCCAUGUAUCAUUGGCACACACUGGUACAGGCCAAAGACACAACAUACUGCCCCAGUGAGGCAUGACCAACAGGGAAUAUUGAGAGAGAAAGAAGAGACAACAAAGCAAACCAAGGUAGUAGGGCACUGAGGCAAACAGAUAACAGAGAUACCUUGGAGCAGUGGCAGAAGAAUCUCUCUCUUUAUACACUGGGACAAGGAUAAACUUCCCUUUCUUUGUCCUUUUCUCCUUCCCAAUGAUCUCGAACGCACACUCGUGGAUCAUGCUUGGCUCCGGUAGACCUCUAAUCCCUCUUCCUCCAUCCCUCCCUCCCAAUGUCAGGGCAGAGGUGCAGGGCUACUGUGUUUGUGAAUGUAAUUAACCUUAUCGGCGCUGUGCAGCACUGACAAAGACAGUAUGUAAGGAUAAAGGAUCGGCAGCAUUGUUCUCCAAUGUUACUCGAGAGUUCAGCAUGAAUGGCACCUCAGUGGACAAGUGUGUUUGAAUUCAGACACAUGGAUGGGUGUUUCCUCAACUUGAAAAGAUUUUCAGCCAAAAAUGAAUUUACUCACCCUCAUGUUAUUCCAAAACUGUAUGACUUUCAUUCUUCUGUAGAAAUAAAAACAUUUUUGAAAAAUGUCUCAAUGUCCAUUAGGCGUGUAACGGUACAUGUAUUCAUCUCGAACCGUUAUGGUUCGGUGCAUACAGUCAGACGAUGAAUACAGUCACAGGAGAUCCACACUCCAAUCCAGAAGGGGGUGCACACGGUAAUGCAGCACUGUUUGCUAACCGCCACAUCAGGAAAAGAGCAAAAGACGAAGAGACGAUCCCAAAACAAUUUCAGAUGGCACGCAAGAGAGCUUGCUUACGGAGCCCCGCACAUGACAUACAAGAAAAAAAAUUAA